rnacentral:rRNA from 1 species
GACGAACGCUGGCGGCGUGCUUAACACAUGCAAGUCGAACGAUGAAGCUAGAGCUUGCCCUGGUGGAUUAGUGGCGAACGGGUGAGUAACACGUGAGUAACCUGCCCCGAACUCUGGGAUAACUGCUGGAAACGGUAGCUAAUACCGGAUAUGACCAAUGAAGGCAUCUUCUGUUGGUGGAAAGAAUUUCGGUUCGGGAUGAACUCGCGGCCUUUCGGCUUGUUGGUGAGGUAACGGCUAACCAAGGCGGCGACGGGUAGCCGGCCUGAGAGGGUGAUCGGCCACACUGGGACUGAGACACGGCCCAGACUCCUACGGGAGGCAGCAGUGGGGAAUAUUGCACAAUGGGCGCAAGCCUGAUGCAGCAACGCCGCGUGAGGGACGACGGCCUUCGGGUUGUAAACCUCUUUUAGUAGGGAAGAAGCGAAAGUGACGGUACCUGCAGAAAAAGCACCGGCUAACUACGUGCCAGCCGCCGCUGUAA